UAGUUUCUAUAAAAAAUUUAUUGUAUUUACUAUUAUUAUUUUAAUUGUACAUGUUUGGGUACAGUGUGAUACUGCACCAUAUCACACAGUGUAUGAUGAUCAAAACAGGGUCGUUAGCAAUUCCAUCUCCUUAAAUUUAAAAAUUGUUUAUUAACACAUAAUUGUUGCACAUAUUUAUGAGGUACAGUAUGACUAUUUCUACAGAACUUUCUAUUCUAACCAGGUUUAUUCCUGAAACACUCGUCUCAAAAUCAACACAGACUGUGUCUACACUGAUAGACACAGUAACAUUAGAUGCACAUCCAUAGCAGUCGUGUGCCUGAACCCUCACCUGCAUGGCCAGGUGCCUGCACCUGUAGUGCUGGGAAUGGGAAAAUGAGUUCCAGCCUUCCUGGAAUCACUAAGGAAGGAAUGACUCUUUGUUUGAAUGGUAAAGUUGGAAAGGCGUGAUGUCGAUCCAGAAAACAAGGAACUAUUUGAGCUGCAUAUUAAAAUGUAAGUAGGAGUCCUGCCAACAGAAUGGGAGGACUGGUAUGUCAUGACCUGUUUGAAAGGUCUAGUUCAAGUCUUCUGGAACAGAAUCUGUGGACAAAACUCCAGAUAAACUAUAGGCGAAGGCUGGAUGGAUCACCAAGGUCGUUGCAUGAAAUGAAACUGUGUUUGUACUUUGUCCUUCUAGGAAUGGGGAAGCCACUAAAAACUUGAAAAGGGCUUAACAUCAUUAGUUGCACUUCAGAAAGAUCACUAUAUACCAUAGAGAUGAAUCUGAUGGUGAGAAGCAAAGGAUAAAGGAAGGUUGGAAAGCCUUAAAGAUAUUUAAGAAGACAGUUGCAAUAUCCUAGGACACAGACAACAAAUUUGCAAAUGAAGGUCAUUGCAUGGGAGUUACAGAGGAAAGAGGAGAAAUAAUGAAUAUCCAGGGCAGAAUUAACCAACAGAAUGAGUAUAGAGGGAAAAGAAAGCUUUUAGGAUGGGACAUCUAGGAUUCCUUCCACCUGGAUGACUUAAAGGACAAUGCUAUUAAGCAGAAUAGAAAGUUCUAUAGAAGGAACAGAAUUUUUAACCAAAACAAAACCAGAAAGUGUAGUCUAUACAUUGUAAGUUGUUUACAAUAAUCUCAGUUGCUAAGGGAUGCAGCGUGUUGUUUUAGUUUCAGGGCACACAAAUGUAGUUAUGAAAAGCAUAACUUUGUGCAGAGAGAAGGGAAAGGAAGGUAUCUCCCUGCUUCUUUGAAAAGGAUUGUUUUCAUUUUUUUGUGGAACAUGGGAUGGAGACCACAUGUGCUAGGUGCGCUAUCACUGAGCUGCAUCCCUAGUCCUAUUCGUUUUAUAGUUUAAGACAGAGUAUUGCUAAAUUGCCCAGGCUAGCCUGGGACUUGUGAUCCUUCUGCUUAGCUGGAAUUAUAGGUGUGCGUCACCGCACCUGACUAAAAAGUUAAUUUUUAAAUAAAGCUUUUGAUGUGGUUAACACAGUUGUGGAGGACAGUCACACCAGUUCUCCCUGAAGCAGAAGGAACAGCACCUGGAUCCUUGCUGACCUGAGCCCAGUGCCUUCUUCCUUCUCCAAGCAGAGCUGCUUUUCCUGCUCACAGUGAUCUACCUGGGCUCUAUUUUCUUUAAACAUUUGUUCAACAAGGACUUGGGUUUUAAAAAACUGUUGAAAUAUGAUGUCUUUAGUAUUUUAAUAAUGAGUUACAUUUAAUGUCUUAUGACAAUAAAAAAGUGUAUGAUUCUGAUGUUAUUUUCACACCAUAGUUUAUGUGUCUGUGGAAGCAUGUAAGAAAU
rnacentral:lncRNA from 1 species